AUGCAAUUCCACAUUGCAUCAGAGAUCAUCCUCCGCCUGGAUGUUGCCCAAGAUACCAGAGCGUUGACCCCUCUUGAAUUCUCUUUGAGAAAGAAGUUGAAACUGAGAAUUCUUGGGUUGGCUGCAAUUGAAAGGGAGAGGAAGAGGCAGGCAUCAAGAGUAACUUUGCUGCAUGCUGGCGAUGCAAACACCAAAUUUUUCAACGCAAAAAUAAAUUCAAGGCGGCGAAAAAACUUCUUUGCAACUCUGAAAACUGAGAAUGGGGUGGCCACUUUUCACGAUGACAAAGAGGAAUGUAUCUUCACUCAUUUUGACAGCCUGCUGGGUUCAAAGCAGCAAUGCACAAGGAUGAUAAACUGGCAACAGCUGCAACUUCCAACAAUCCAGGGAGGUGGGAUGGAUAAUCCCUUCACCGAGGAAGAAAUUCGGAAUGCAAUAAAAGACAUGCCCCAAGAAAAAGCCCCAAGCCCCGACGGCUUCAAUGGUGUUUUCUUUAGAGCGUGCUGGCCGAUAAUCAAGGAGGACAUCCUAGCUGCCUUUCAUCAAUUCCACUACAUCCCUGGCGACUUCAAACCUCUAAACAAGGCUUACAGUUGCUCUCCUACCCAAGAAAUAUGGCGCUGA
rnacentral:rRNA from 1 species